rnacentral:tRNA from 1 species
AGCUGUGUAGCUCAGUUGGUUAGAGCACCCGUUUAGUAAGUGGGAAGUCUUAAGUUUAACUCUUGAGUAGAGCAA